UUAAUGGAGAGUUUGAUCCUGGCUCAGGACGAACGCUGGCGGCGUGCCUAAUACAUGCAAGUCGAGCGGAUCAAGGCGGAAGUUUACUUCUGCUGAGGUUAGCGGCGGACGGGUGAGUAACACGUAGGCAACCUGCCUGUAAGACUGGGAUAACAUCCGGAAACGGAUGCUAAUACCGGAUACGCGAUUUCCUCGCAUGGGGGGAUUGGGAAAGACGGAGCAAUCUGUCACUUACAGAUGGGCCUGCGGCGCAUUAGCUAGUUGGUGGGGUAAAGGCCUACCAAGGCGACGAUGCGUAGCCGACCUGAGAGGGUGAUCGGCCACACUGGGACUGAGACACGGCCCAGACUCCUACGGGAGGCAGCAGUAGGGAAUCUUCCGCAAUGGACGAAAGUCUGAC
rnacentral:rRNA from 2 species